rnacentral:rRNA from 1 species
UACGUCGGGUCCGAGCGUUGUCCGGAAUUAUUGGGCGUAAAGGGCUCGUAGGCGGUUUGUCGCGUCGGGAGUGAAAUCUUACAGCUUAACUGUGAACUUGCUUCCGAUACGGGCAGACUUGAGGCAUUCAGGGGAGAACGGAAUUCCUGGUGUAGCGGUGAAAUGCGCAGAUAUCAGGAGGAACACCGGUGGCGAAGGCGGUUCUCUGGGAAUGUACUGACGCUGAGGAGCGAAAGUGUGGGGAGCGAACAGG